GAUGAACGCUGGCGGCGUGCCUAAUACAUGCAAGUCGAGCGAACGGACGAGAAGCUUGCUUCUCUGAUGUUAGCGGCGGACGGGUGAGUAACACGUGGAUAACCUACCUAUAAGACUGGGAUAACUUCGGGAAACCGGAGCUAAUACCGGAUAAUAUUUUGAACCGCAUGGUUCAAAAGUGAAAGACGGUCUUGCUGUCACUUAUAGAUGGAUCCGCGCUGCAUUAGCUAGUUGGUAAGGUAACGGCUUACCAAGGCAACGAUGCAUAGCCGACCUGAGAGGGUGAUCGGCCACACUGGAACUGAGACACGGUCCAGACUCCUACGGGAGGCAGCAGUAGGGAAUCUUCCGCAAUGGGCGAAAGCCUGACGGAGCAACGCCGCGUGAGUGAUGAAGGUCUUCGGAUCGUAAAACUCUGUUAUCAGGGAAGAACAUAUGUGUAAGUAACUGUGCACAUCUUGACGGUACCUAAUCAGAAAGCCACGGCUAACUACGUGCCAGCAGCCGCGGUAAUACGUAGGUGGCAAGCGUUAUCCGGAAUUAUUGGGCGUAAAGCGCGCGUAGGCGGUUUUUUAAGUCUGAUGUGAAAGCCCACGGCUCAACCGUGGAGGGUCAUUGGAAACUGGAAAACUUGAGUGCAGAAGAGGAAAGUGGAAUUCCAUGUGUAGCGGUGAAAUGCGCAGAGAUAUGGAGGAACACCAGUGGCGAAGGCGACUUUCUGGUCUGUAACUGACGCUGAUGUGCGAAAGCGUGGGGAUCAAACAGGAUUAGAUACCCUGGUAGUCCACGCCGUAAACGAUGAGUGCUAAGUGUUAGGGGGUUUCCGCCCCUUAGUGCUGCAGCUAACGCAUUAAGCACUCCGCCUGGGGAGUACGACCGCAAGGUUGAAACUCAAAGGAAUUGACGGGGACCCGCACAAGCGGUGGAGCAUGUGGUUUAAUUCGAAGCAACGCGAAGAACCUUACCAAAUCUUGACAUCCUUUGACAACUCUAGAGAUAGAGCUUUCCCCUUCGGGGGACAAAGUGACAGGUGGUGCAUGGUUGUCGUCAGCUCGUGUCGUGAGAUGUUGGGUUAAGUCCCGCAACGAGCGCAACCCUCAAGCUUAGUUGCCAUCAUUAAGUUGGGCACUCUAAGUUGACUGCCGGUGACAAACCGGAGGAAGGUGGGGAUGACGUCAAAUCAUCAUGCCCCUUAUGAUUUGGGCUACACACGUGCUACAAUGGACAAUACAAAGGGCAGCGAAACCGCGAGGUCAAGCAAAUCCCAUAAAGUUGUUCUCAGUUCGGAUUGUAGUCUGCAACUCGACUACAUGAAGCUGGAAUCGCUAGUAAUCGUAGAUCAGCAUGCUACGGUGAAUACGUUCCCGGGUCU
rnacentral:rRNA from 2 species